UUUCGCAAUGCCCGAAAGGGUGACGAAGCGACGCCGCGUGGGUGAGGAAGGCCUUCGGGUUGUAAAGCCCUGUCAGGAGUUAUGAAAUGUAAGUGCGCUAAUAUCGUGCUUAUUUGACAAAGGCUCCAAAGGAAGCCACGGCUAACUCUGUGCCAGCAGCCGCGGUAAUACAGAGGUGGCGAGCGUUGUUCGGAAUUAUUGGGCGUAAAGAGCACGUAGGUGGGUUUGCAAGUCAGAUGUGAAAGCCUUCUGUUCAACGGAAGAAUUGCAUCUGAAACUGCUAAUCUUGAGUAUAGGAGGGGAGAAUGGAACUUCUGGUGGAGCGGUGAAAUGCGUAGAUAUCAGAAGGAACGCCGGCGGCGAGAGCGAUUCUCUGGCCUAUUACUGACACUCAGUGUGCGAAAGCUAGGGGAGCAAACGGGAUUAGAUACCCCGGUAGUCCUAGCCGUAAACGAUGGGCACUAAGUAGAGGGGUUUUA
rnacentral:rRNA from 1 species